AUCAGCCAUGCCGCGUGUGUGAAGAAGGCCUUUUGGUUGUAAAGCACUUUAAGCGAGGAGGAGGCUACUUAGAUUAAUACUCUUGGAUAGUGGACGUUACUCGCAGAAUAAGCACCGGCUAACUCUGUGCCAGCAGCCGCGGUAAUACAGAGGGUGCGAGCGUUAAUCGGAUUUACUGGGCGUAAAGCGUGCGUAGGCGGCUUUUUAAGUCGGAUGUGAAAUCCCUGAGCUUAACUUAGGAAUUGCAUUCGAUACUGGGAAGCUAGAGUAUGGGAGAGGAUGGUAGAAUUCCAGGUGUAGCGGUGAAAUGCGUAGAGAUCUGGAGGAAUACCGAUGGCGAAGGCAGCCAUCUGGCCUAAUACUGACGCUGAGGUACGAAAGCAUGGGGAGCAAACAGGAUUAGAUACCCUGGUAGUCCAUGCCGUAAACGAUGUCUACUAGCCGUUGGGGCCUUUGAGGCUUUAGUGGCGCAGCUAACGCGAUAAGUAGACCGCCUGGGGAGUACGGUCGCAAGACUAAAACUCAAAUGAAUUGACGGGGGCCCGCACAAGCGGUGGAGCAUGUGGUUUAAUUCGAUGCAACGCGAAGAACCUUACCUGGUCUUGACAUAGUAAGAACUUUCCAGAGAUGGAUUGGUGCCUUCGGGAACUUACAUACAGGUGCUGCAUGGCUGUCGUCAGCUCGUGUCGUGAGAUGUUGGGUUAAGUCCCGCAACGAGCGCAACCCUUUUCCUUAUUUGCCAGCGGGUUAAGCCGGGAACUUUAAGGAUACUGCCAGUGACAAACUGGAGGAAGGCGGGGACGACGUCAAGUCAUCAUGGCCCUUACGACCAGGGCUACACACGUGCUACAAUGGUCGGUACAAAGGGUUGCUACCUAGCGAUAGGAUGCUAAUCUCAAAAAGCCGAUCGUAGUCCGGAUUGGAGUCUGCAACUCGACUCCAUGAAGUCGGAAUCGCUAGUAAUCGCGGAUCAGAAUGCCGCGGUGAAUACGUUCCCGGGCCUUGUACACACCGCCCGUCACACCAUGGGAAUUUGUUGCACCAGAAGUAGGUAGUCUAACCGCAAGGAGGACGCUUACCACGGUGUGGCCGAUGAUGGGUGA
rnacentral:rRNA from 1 species